rnacentral:lncRNA from 1 species
AUAUAUAUAAAAUAAAAUAAAAACCAAAAAUUGAAACAAAUAAAGAUAAAAUUAAACUAAUUAAACAAACAAAGUUUAAAAUCAAAAAUUUGGUGUCUACACGGACGUCCGGUACCUCCAAUGCUCUGCGUCUAAAGUGUUGCGCAGAUUAUCGGAUGUUCGGUGCUCUAAUGUUUUACGUCCGAUCGAGAUCAGUAAGCUUAGGGAAAAUGUUUUAAUUCUUUCGGACAUCCGGUGAUGGAAUUCUUCAUGCGUCCGAAAUUACUUAAUGAUUGUCGGACGUCCGAUCCAGUCUUUACGUGCAUCCGACAGUUUCAGCAAUCUUUGUCUCUUUCAAUUAUGCUUAAUGUUUGAAUCUGAUUUGCUUCAUUUCUGAAAAGGUCUUUGAGGAGAUAUUAGUAACAUCCAUUUGUUUUGUAAUCAUCGAAAGCUAAAAACUAAGAUUAACAGUGGUAGUAUUUAUUAGAAAAUCUAGAAAACUCUGCG